rnacentral:rRNA from 1 species
AUGCGCGAGAAAAGAUGUACAUGUGACAAAAUGAUGAUAGAGAUGAACGAUGUUUCUGAAAGACAUGCAGAACUUAUUGCUACUCAUGGCAUCACCAAGCGUAUCAUGGGAGCGGCUGCAGACCAGCACUGCUCAAAGUAUAGACCACACCGGCCCAACCCGGUGCUUUUCAUCUUUUUCCCCGUAAAGGAGCUGAUGUUUUUCUUAUGCCAAUUUAUAUUUCUAGAACAGGAAACACCAGUACAGCGGACUAACUGUAUUUUCAGGACAUGUGUUUCUUUUUCAACACAGUAUUUCUACCUAGAUACCAAAUUUACCAAUCAAAUACACGGUUGCAUGUUAACAUGA